rnacentral:rRNA from 1 species
UGAGGAACAUGACCUUCGGCGGGGGAUAGCCGGCCCAACGGCCGGGUAAUACCGCGUACGACCUUUCGGGGACAUCCCCGGAUGGUGAAAGCAGCAAUGCGCCGAUGGAGUGCCUCGCGGCCUAUCAGCUAGUUGGUGAGGUAACGGCUCACCAAGGCAACGGACGGGUAGCUGGUCUGAGAGGAUGGCCAGCCANGUUGGGACUGAGACNCGGCUAGACCUCCGAGGGGAGNAGCG